GAGGGUAUAGCUCAGUGGUAGAGUGCGUGCUUAGCAUGCACGAGGUCCUUGGUUCAAUCCCCUGCACCUCCA
rnacentral:tRNA from 1 species